AGUUUGUAUUGGUUUGAGCGAACGUGAGCAGGUACAAAAUGGUAGCGGACAAGUGGAUACCGAGCGUACAGUACAAUUCGUAAGCUUGAUUCGUUUAAUGGUAAGGAAAGAAAAUAAAGUGCAAAGAGGAUUAAGAAAGAUAGGAAGAAAUGAAUAGAAACAUUUAUAUUACAAUAUUUAUAUGGAAUAAAUACGUCACAAUGCAAAAAAAUAUCUGUUUCGUAAAAUGUAGCUUUUAAAAGAAAUGUCCAUCUUAUGUAAAAUCGGCAAAACGUAAUCACGAAACAUUUAACAAACAAAUAGAAUUUGAAUUUACUGAGA